rnacentral:tRNA from 1 species
GCCCCUAUGGCGCAGAGGAAAGCGCGUUGGACUCCUAAUCCAAAUGUCGCGGGUUCGAAUCCCGCUAGGGGUG